rnacentral:lncRNA from 1 species
UAGAAUAUCUAAUAGAAUUACUAUAAUUGGUACGACUGUGGUCAUAGAUCAUACCAUGGUUUGGCAAGUCGAAAAUGUGCCUAAGUAAAUUAUCGUUAUCUAUAUCUGAUUUGAUCAUUCCACCUGCGUAGUUGAAAAUCUAUAUAUGUCCUUAGAGAUGGAAGUCGGAAUUACUUUGCAAAGCAUGAUACGAAAAUCUAAGCACUUUAUGAUUUAUUUGAUUUUCUCUACUGUC